rnacentral:rRNA from 1 species
CCUACGGGUGGCAGCAGUGAGGAAUAUUGGUCAAUGGGCGGGAGCCUGAACCAGCCAAGCCGCGUGAGGGAAGAAGGUACAGCGUAUCGUAAACCUCUUUUGUCAGGGAACAAAGGCGGGGACUCGUCCCAGGAUGAGGGUACCUGAAGAAAAAGCAUCGGCUAACUCCGUGCCAGCAGCCGCGGUAAUACGGGGGAUGCGAGCGUUAUCCGGAUUGAUGGGGGUUAAAGGGUGCGAAGGCGGACUGUUAAGUCAGCGGUAAAAGCCCGGGGCUCAACCCCGGCGAGCCGUUGAAACUGGGGGGCUGGAGUUGGGGAGAGGUAGGCGGAAUGCGCGGUGUAGCGGUGAAAUGCUUAGAUAUCGCGCAGAACCCCGAUUGCGAAGGCAGCGUACCGGCUCCACACUGACGCUGAGGCACGAAAGCGUGGGUAUCGAACAGGAUUAGAUACCCGAGUAGUC